CCGCCUCGGUCCAACCCAGCCCCCUCCCCCCACCGCCCACUUAGUCCAUUUCUCCCAGCAAGCAACGCGACUCACAACCGCGGACACGCCACUUCCGGCAGCUGCCGGAGCCGCGCGGAAGCCCCAGCCUGUAACUUGGCCCUAGCGGCUUCCAUGGACGCGCACGACGCCCCGCGGCCAUCUUGGACCCGGGCAAAUCGCACGUCGCCUUAUGAUUUAGAGCGAGAUGGAGGGAGAACAACCCUUGGAAAAUGAGUGAAAGAGGUUAUACACGAAAGAAUACUGAUGAAAAAACAAAAGUCCCAUGGAGGAGGGAAUGUACUGGUGAAAAUUUGUGAAGUUCACUGUGCUUCAUCCUCUCAAAUGGAGUUUGUUCCCCUGCAGAAGAAUCAAGAUGCUUGGCCCUCCACCCACACAGUUAUC